AUUCUCUUAAAACAUAAA
rnacentral:sRNA from 1 species